rnacentral:sRNA from 1 species
AUACCAAGUGUCAAAAGGUCUAAAAUCCAACGCAAGCUUGCUUGCAGGAGGAUUUUGGAACUUGGGGCACGUAAAACAUGAGUAAGUAGCCAUUUUUCAAAGAAAAAUGAGCGGAUUACGAAUGUUUUAAAGAUUGCGAGAGUGCAAAGCACGUAGCAAUCUGGU